rnacentral:rRNA from 1 species
ACUCCUACGGGAGGCAGCAGUGGGGAAUUUUGGACAAUGGGCGAAAGCCUGAUCCAGCAAUGCCGCGUGAGUGAAGAAGGCCUUCGGGUUGUAAAGCUCUUUUGUCAGGGAAGAAACGGUGAAAGCUAAUAUCUUUUGCUAAUGACGGUACCUGAAGAAUAAGCACCGGCUAACUACGUGCCAGCAGCCGCGGUAAUACGUAGGGUGCAAGCGUUAAUCGGAAUUACUGGGCGUAAAGCGUGCGCAGGCGGUUUUGUAAGUCUGAUGUGAAAUCCCCGGGCUCAACCUGGGAAUUGCAUUGGAGACUGCAAGGCUAGAAUCUGGCAGAGGGGGGUAGAAUUCCACGUGUAGCAGUGAAAUGCGUAGAUAUGUGGAGGAACACCGAUGGCGAAGGCAGCCCCCUGGGUCAAGAUUGACGCUCAUGCACGAAAGCGUGGGGAGCAAACAGGAUUAGAAACCCUUGUAGUCCCAUGA